rnacentral:sRNA from 1 species
GCCGGGUAUGGUGGCGCACACCUGUAGUCCCAGCUACUCGGGAGGCUGAGGCAGGAGAAUCGCUUGAACCCAGGAGGCGGAGGCUACAGUGAGCCGAGAUGGCGCCACUGCACUCCAGCCUGAGUGACAGAGCGAGACUCUGUCUCAA